rnacentral:rRNA from 1 species
GACGAACGCUGGCGGCGUGCUUAACACAUGCAAGUCGUACGGUAAGGCCCUUUCGGGGGUACACGAGUGGCGAACGGGUGAGUAACACGUGAGUAACCUGCCCACAACUUUGGGAUAACGCUAGGAAACUGGUGCUAAUACUGGAUAUGUGCUCCUGCUGCAUGGUGGGGGUUGGAAAGCUCCGGCGGUUGUGGACGGACUCGCGGCCUAUCAGCUUGUUGGUGGGGUAGUGGCCUACCAAGGCGGCGACGGGUAGCCGGCCUGAGAGGGUGACCGGCCACAUUGGGACUGAGAUACGGCCCAGACUCCUACGGGAGGCAGCAGUGGGGAAUAUUGCACAAUGGGCGCAAGCCUGAUGCAGCAACGCCGCGUGCGGGAUGACGGCCUUCGGGUUGUAAACCGCUUUCAGCAGGGACGAAGCUUUUUGUGACGGUACCUGCAGAAGAAGCACCGGCUAACUACGUG